UACGGAAGGUCCGGGCGUUAUCCGGAUUUAUUGGGUUUAAAGGGAGCGCAGGCCGGAGGUUAAGCGUGACGUGAAAUGUAGCCGCUCAACGGCUGAAUUGCGUCGCGAACUGGCUUCCUUGAGUGAGUGCGACGUGUACGGAAUUCGUGGUGUAGCGGUGAAAUGCUUAGAUAUCACGAAGAACCCCGAUUGCGAAGGCAGUGCACGAGCCCUUAACUGACGCUAAAGCUCGAAGGUGCGGGUAUCGAAC
rnacentral:rRNA from 1 species